rnacentral:rRNA from 1 species
GCAGUCGAGCGCGGGAAGCAGGCGGAUCCCUUCGGGGUGAAACCUGUGGAACGAGCGGCGGACGGGUGAGUAACACGUGGGCAACCUGCCUGUAAGAUCGGGAUAACUCCGGGAAACCGGGGCUAAUACCGGGUAAUACCUUUCUCCGCAUGGAGAAAGGUUGAAAGGCGGCCUUUUGGCUGUCACUUACAGAUGGGCCCGCGGCGCAUUAGCUAGUUGGUGGGGUAACGGCCUACCAAGGCAACGAUGCGUAGCCGACCUGAGAGGGUGAUCGGCCACACUGGGACUGAGACACGGCCCAGACUCCUACGGGAGGCACCAGUAGGGAAUCUUCCGCAAUGGACGAAAGUCUGACGGAGCAACGCCGCGUGAACGAUGAAGGUCUUCGGAUCGUAAAGUUCUGUUGUCAGGGAAGAACAAGUACCGUUUGAACAAGGCGGUACCUUGACGGUACCUGACGAGGAAGCCCCGGCUCACUACGUGCCAGCAGCCGCGGUAAUACGUAGGGGGCGAGCGUUGUCCGGAAUUAUUGGGCGUUUAGCUCUCUCAUGCGGUUCCUCAACUCUGACGUGCAAGCCCACGGCUUAACCGCGGAGGGUCAUUGGAAACUGGGAAACUAGUGUACAUACUAGGAUAGCGGUUUUCUACGUGUAGCGGUGAAAUGCACUACAUAUGCGGAGGACACUCUCUGGUGCUGGCCUCUCUCUGGACAGC